GCUCCGCUGGUGAACCAGCGGAGGGAUCAUUACCGAGUGCAAACUCAUAACCCUUUGUGAACCUAUAUCUGUUGCUUCGGCGGCUCGCUCUCGGGCGAGCCCGCCGGUAAUAUCAGUAUCUCUGUUUGAACCCGACGAUACUUCUGAGUGUUCUUGGCGAACAGUUAAAACUUUUAACAACGGAUCUCUUGGCUCUA
rnacentral:misc_RNA from 1 species